UAUUAAAAAUUUCAUUAAUUUCUACUGUUAAAAACUGGUGUGACUAACAAAAUAAUCAAACAGUUGCAUGUGGCGUGCCACGUGUACCUUAUGCUGACUUAUAAGGACCAGUGUUUUUUACAGUAAAAAUGGUUGAAAUUUUUAAUA
rfam:Gossypium hirsutum cultivar TM-1 unplaced genomic scaffold scaffold280.1, whole genome shotgun sequence